ensembl:snoRNA
UUAUUCCCAUGAUGUCUAGCUCUGAACUCUCUGAUCAUCCCUGAGGACAUAGUGAUCCAUAGGACCUUUGACAACUGGGGGUCUGAGGGACCC